rnacentral:rRNA from 1 species
GUAGCUAUGUAGGGAAGGGAUAAACGCUGAAAGCAUCUAAGUGUGAAACCCACCUCAAGAUGAGAUUUCCCAUGAUUAUAUAUCAGUAAGAGCCCUGAGAGAUGAUCAGGUAGAUAGGUUAGAAGUGGAAGUGUGGCGACACAUGUAGCGGACUAAUACUAAUAGCUCGAGGACUUAUCCAA